GCCAGAGCAGCGGCCGCGGCGGAGGCGGGAGCUGGGGGGUUGAGGCCCGCGCGGCCCCGCUCGCCGCUGCUCGGCGGAGGCUGAGAGCCGGCGGGCAUCUGCAUCCCCGCGCCCGCUAAGCCCCGGCACCGCGGACCCCGGGCCACGGCUCUCCGUGGCGGCAACGCGCCGGGAGGACCGCACGGGAGAGCACGAUGGGCGCCCGGGGCUCGAUCUUCCUACCUGGGGCGGGUGGGUGCUCGCCCACCCUCCCGCCCUCUUUCCUCUCCACUCGUGAGCCAGAGCCGCAUCCAGCACCACGGACAGCUCCCUGACGCCAGGAAAUUCCAGAAUCCUGCCUGCCCCUUUCUGGGGAUGUCCUUCCCAAGGUCUUAUGGAGAUCUGUACUGCAGAAGUACCGUUGGCUUGACGUGGCCAAUCUGAGAGACCAAAAAGAAGGACCUAUUUCACCCAGGUGGUGUGGGUUCCCUCUGAGAAGCCCUCCUAGGUUGACCAAAGAUGAGGCGAAUACUCCAGCAAGCUGACUGGCUGCUCCAGGAAGCCUCUGAGCAUGAUGGACAUGGCAUGGCCCUAGCUCCAGCCUGGCUGCCCAUUAAGUUGGAGCCGCCUGGAGAGGGCUUCCUUGUACCCAUGCUCCCGUGUCAACAGCUGUCCACCGUGGCCCAUCCCAGUCCCUCAGUAUUGUCUGAGUCGCUAUCCUCUGAGAUGGAGGUCCCAUCUCAUGUCUAAUAAAGACUCCUGAAU